UACGAAGGGGGCUAGCGUUGCUCGGAAUCACUGGGCGUAAAGGGUGCGUAGGCGGGUCUUUAAGUCAGGGGUGAAAUCCUGGAGCUCAACUCCAGAACUGCCUUUGAUACUGAGGAUCUUGAGUUCGGGAGAGGUGAGUGGAACUGCGAGUGUAGAGAUGAAAUUCGUAGAUAUUCGCAAGAACACCAGUGGCGAAGGCGGCUCACUGGCCCGAUACUGACGCUGAUGCACGAAAGCGUGGGGAGCAAACAGG
rnacentral:rRNA from 1 species